GUUUGCACUCAUCGGGGAAGGGUGAGAACCUUCGACUAAGGUUCGAUUCAAGCGAAAGCGAGAGAACGUUGCCACAGGCAACGGCCCGAAGGGUGAGGAGCGAAGCGACGAAUAAUCCUUCCCCCACCACCA
rnacentral:sRNA from 1 species